rnacentral:rRNA from 1 species
AUGAUAGAGGAAAGCAGAAUUUCUAGUGUAGAGGUGAAAUUCGUAGAUAUUAGAAAGAAUACCAAUUGCGAAGGCAGCUUUCUGGAUCAUUACUGACACUGAGGAACGAAAGCAUGGGUAGCGAAGAGGAUUAGAUACCCUCGUAGUCCAUGCCGUAAACGAUGUGUGUUAGACGUUGGAAAUUUAUUUUCAGUGUCGCAGCGAAAGCGAUAAACACACCGCCUGGGGAGUACGACCGCAAGGUUAAAACUCAAAUGAAUUGACGGGGACCCGCACAAGUAGUGGAGCAUGUGGUUUAAUUCGAAGAUACGCGCAGAACCUUACCAACACUUGACAUGUUCGUCGCGACUUUAAGAGAUUAAAGUUUUCGGUUCGGCCGGACGAAACACAGGUGCUGCAUGGCUGUCGUCAGCUCGUGUCGUGAGAUGUUGGGUUAAGUCCCGCAACGAGCGCAACCCUCACUUUUAGUUGCCAUCAUUAAGUUGGGCACUCUGAAAGAACUGCCAGUGAUAAGCUGGAGGAAGGUGGGGAUGACGUCAAGUCCUCAUGGCCCUUACGUGUUGGGCUACACACGUGCUACAAUGGUAUCUACAACAGGAAGCAAAACCGCGAGGUUAAGCAAAUCCUUAAAAGAUACCUCAGUUCGGAUUGCACUCUGCAACUCGAGUGCAUGAAGCUGGAAUUACUAGUAAUCGUGGAUCAGCGUGCCACGGUGAAUGCGUUCCCGGGUCUUGUACACACCGCCCGUCGCACCAUGGGAGUUGGUUCUACGUUAAGGCAAGGUUUCAAACCCUUGACCACGGUAUAGUCA